GACGAACGCUGGCGGCGUGCUUAACACAUGCAAGUCGAGCGGUAAGGCCCUUUCGGGGGUACACGAGCGGCGAACGGGUGAGUAACACGUGGGUGACCUGCCCUCAGCUCUGGGAUAAGCCUGGAAAACCGGGUCUAAUACCGGAUAUGACUCCAUGACGCAUGUUGUGGGGUGAAAGCCUUGUGCGGCUGAGGAUGGGCCCGCGGCCUAUCAGCUUGUUGGUGGGGUGAUGGCCUACCAAGGCGACGACGGGUAGCCGGCCUGAGAGGGCGACCGGCCACACUGGGACUGAGACACGGCCCAGACUCCUACGGGAGGCAGCAGUGGGGAAUCUUGCGCAAUGGGCGAAAGCCUGACGCAGCGACGCCGCGUGAGGGAUGACGGCCU
rnacentral:rRNA from 1 species